rnacentral:rRNA from 1 species
CACACCCGUUCCCAUCCCGAACACGGCAGUUAAGCCCUCCAGCGCCGAUGGUACUGCAGUUUACUGUGGGAGAGUAGGUCGUUGCCAGGA